AUUGUCCAAACGCAAUUACGGU
rnacentral:miRNA from 1 species